ACUGAAUGGAAGCUCCAGCUGUAGAGCCUGUGAAAGUAGAGUCCGUGAAGGUGAACGAAGAGAAAGUUGACAAAGCAGCGCCAGCAACCAUUGAACCAAAAGCUGCAGCCGCUGCUGUUGCCACAGCUAGCACCACUGGACAGGAAAAAACUCCAAGUGCUAAUCAGGAAAUCGUGAUUGAAUCAGCAGCAGCAGCAGAACCAAAGACAAAUUGAAGCACAAACUCAGAAACAAAUAAGAAGCUUGUCCUAUUCAAAUCAGAGUUUUAUAGUUCCAGUUUAUGUAUUGAUAUUGUAUUGUUUCUACUUUAAUGCUGGAAAAAACUCAAAAAGAUUGGAAUAGUAAAAUUUAUAUUUUAUUGUAAAAGCUGGCUUGCUAUGUAACAUAAAUACUGAUCAUACAUUUUGAUAGCAACCUGUUUCAGAGAGAGC